rnacentral:rRNA from 1 species
CAGCAGCAGCAGAUUGUUGAAGACCGUGCAAGAAAUAUUAGCCACAAUGUCCGGUGCACUGAGUGUGGCAGCCAGUCCAUUGAAGAUUCACAAGCAGAUGUUGCGGUUCUCCUUAGAAGGCUAAUUCGCGAUGAAAUAAAAUCUGGCAAGAGUGAUAAGGAGAUAUAG